GAGAGAACAGAGAGGAGAACAGAGAGAACAGAGAGGUUUUAUUUCAGCGUCAACAUGUUUGUUUGGAAGCACAAAGAUUCAAUGAUGCAGCAACUAUCCAACAUGUCAGCACAAGAACUUGCAUCUUCUUCCAAUCACUGCUGGAGAUAGACGACCCCCCCACCCCCCCUGUGACGUGACACCAUGGCAACAGGAGCAUCUG